AGUAGUAGUAGUAGUAGUAGUAGUAUGUUGAGCUCAGAAAAGGUCAUAGGCUGAGUUGAAUAAUUAAGCCUAUCGCUACAAAAAAGCUUCCUGUACCGACAUAAUAUUAUGCCGACAAGUGGAAUCAGUGAGUCCGUCCACUUGUCGUUAAAGCUCAGUAACGUUGCCGCGUCGCCGUUCGUGAAAUCUCAUAUUUAUCGUUUAUUUGAGACUUAGCGAUGGUCUGGAUACAUCGGGAAGUAAUGAUUUUAACUCUAAUAAUAAAUGAGUGACGUUGUAUGUGUCCCGGAGGUCAGGAAAUGGUAAACACGGGAGGGUAAAUAUAUGGCGACAUGGCACCUUUACAAAUGUGGUCAUCUAGGUAUCGUACUCGACGCCUUGAAAUGUAUCAACAUUGCUCUAAAUGCCAAUUCCGGCCCCUCCAAGGACGGAAUUUAUCUUUUUGAUUACCCUUACGAUCCUAAAAUAAUAAUUACUCAUAGCUUCAUGGCGCCUGGGAAGCAUAAAUCAUAUUUUGUUAAAGAAAGUGUCGUACGCUGGACAUUUCUACGUGUUUGGGAAUUAGAACUUAUGGUUUUAUGCUAUUUUAAACCAUUUUCUCAUGUUUUGGUGUCCAAUAUUGGGCAAAAAGGGACGAGAACUCCAUUUCUGGCCUCAAAAUGGCGCUAGGGCUAACAGUUUGUGAGAUAUAUGGAUGUUCCUGAGCCAUCACCUUCCUUAAGUUUCAGAUCAUGCCAUUCCUUAAUCCCUUACUAAUUCCUACGUCCCUGGCGCUCGACAACACCAGAAUUUUUCGGGGAAUGCACACUCGUAUCCUCUCAGAAAUGCCCUACGGGGAGUAUUGAUGGUGAUGCGAUUUAUUUUCCGUCGCUAACUCUAAGACGCUGCCAUUCAGUAUUUCCUAAUCGAUUCUUACCCUCUUGGCACUGGAAAGAAAGGUAAUUUUACGAGCAAUCUUUUGAUAUCCUUAAGAAGGCUCUACGUGCAUCACAGACGGAGAUCUAAGCAGGUAAAGAUUUCACCCCCCCCCUCCUCGGCAACUCUACGGGGCUAAACUACCACAUUUCCCCCGCGAGGCCUUCACACGAAAAAGUUUAAAAAUUGAAAAAUCGUUAUUCCUUCUUCCAGUUCGAUGAAAGGGGUUGAUAUAUGUGAAGAAAAAAAUACUAAAAUUCCUGGUGCUAUCAGAAUUGCAAUAGGCCUAAGACUGACGGAGUUAAGAACGGUUUUGUGAGAGCCUUCGACAACUUUGUAGGCCUAUAACUCCUGAAUCAAGGCGUGUUUGUAAAUGCCCGAUUAGUCGAUGGUAGAGAAAAUUCCGAGGAACACGCUGGUGCUUUCAGAAUUGCGCUACCACUAAUGGGUAGAGAGAUAUAUCGAUUGGAAAUUUCGCACUUUUUCGACAUUUGUGGUAACGUCACUCGCUUAAUAUCAAUCCUUUCUUCUUCGUCGAGAGAUAAUAAAAGUCUUAUAUUUUGACGAGGAAUGCAACGCUGCUCUCGGAUCUGCGCUCCCACCUUUAGUUUCGGAGAGAGCAUGUCAUAUUUUAACCGCCUGCCACGCCUUAACUCCUGCAGAUAUGUUUUAUGAAAUGAAAUAAUAUCUUGAGAUGACCCGACACGGCCUAUAUUGUGGAAUGAUCAGAUUUAAGAUUUGACGCGUAUUUCCAAAGAUAGCUUUUUUUGCUUAUUUUGCUUGUGUAUUAUUGACCGACUGAUAUCUGAUGUAAAAUUUGACGGAGAAUAACGUGGCGUCGUCAGAAUAGAGAUAACUUUAUUAGGUAUCAAGAUAUCCUAGCUGAGGCGUUGAUCAGAAUGUUUUGAUUCUGCAUCGAUUCCUGCAUCCAUGUCUAAGUAAUGUCUUAAUGUCGGGCAUGAUUUGGAGAGGGCACAUCACGAGGAAGCCAUUUCUGGUCUUGGUUUUGCGCUAGCUCAAUUAUUAUAGAAGUUAUCAGCUAUAUUCUGAGCAAUGGUCGUAACCCUCAAUUUUAUCCUCUCGUUUUUUCUCGUGUUCGUUGCACUCAGCUGGUGGGGUAGAAUUUGACGCUGAACAUUUUGAUGCUUAUUAGAAUCCGAUCGGUAGAGUAUUAACGGAGCUAUGAACGAUUUUGUGUUUCCACCGUUAUGAAACUCUCCGGUGUUUACGGCCACAAUUUCACCUCCUCUACAACGAUCUUUUUUUUCAAAUAUGCAAGUUUCGUUAUUCUUGCCUCCAGCUGGAUCAGAGAGAUUUACAGACGUGACGAAAACAAUAUUAGAAUUUCUAGUGCUAUCAGAAUUGCGCUAGGCCUAAAACUGACGGAGAUAUCCACGAUUUAAAAAAAACGUGCUGAAACUUUGAAGGCCUAUAAGUCCCUUAAUACGCUAAAGUGUUGUAUGCCCAAUUGGCUCCUGGGAGAACCAGUUACGGGAAACACGCUGGUGCCUUCAGAAUGACGCUACGACCAAUAGUUAUGGAGUUAUCAUGAUCUGUUUUUCGCGUUUUUUUUUAACUUUGAUCCAACUUCCUUCGCUUAAUAUCUAUUUUUUCUCAUUCGUCAAUAGAUAAUGAAAGUUUUAGAAUUUAACGAUGAACACAACGCUGGUCUCGAAUCUUCGCUACGACCUUUAGUUUUGGAGAUAACACGUCAUUUCUUUAGCCGCCUGUCACGCCUUUACUAGUGAAGAUACGUUUAUGGAAAUAAGUAUCGCGAGUUCAGCCGAGACAAGCUAUAAUUUGACGUCUUCAAAUUUAACUUUGGAAGCGUUUGGUUCUUUUUUUUUAUUUCUUGCUAUUUCUUGACGAACAACUGAUACAAGGUGUCGAGUUUGCCGGAGAACACGAUGGCGCUAUUAGAAUCAAGAUAGCGUUUUUCGUUAUUGAGCUAUACCGGUCCAAAGUUUGGUCUUAACGGUUUUCGCCUGCGCCUCUUGCUGUGUCCAUGUUUUCCUCGUGUUUGUGGAGCUACUCGGGUGUAGCAUUCGACGCUGAACAUUUUGGUCUUUACUAGAAUCCGAUCGGUUGAGUAUUAACGGAGUAAAUAACGAUUUUGUGUUUAGGGGGGGGGAGUGGUCGGGUGGUAUCCCCGGGGUGGUGGUAGUGGUCUGGGGCAGGGUGUCUGUGGGGUGUCCUGGGGGAGGGGGUGUAGGGGGCGGAGGGGGAGGGUGAACGAUGUUUCUUUUUUUUCGUUUAGUUUAAAAAUGUUUCGUGCUGUGAUUUGCUAUGUAGUGUUGAGCCUUCAUAAUGUAUCGUCUUUGUAUUCUUUUUUAUGGGUGGCGUGUUUUACCAUUUCUUGAAGGGCGCGGUGGAAUUUUCUGACGUUACUGAACCUAGAAAUAAAUAAUAUGUUCUCUGACUUUUGGCAAUAGCUAUGGCUCAGAAACAGGUAAAUACGAGACUCCUAGUACGAUAAUCUGGCAACGGUGGCCCAUACCAAGGCCUGUCUCUCCAACGGGUCACAUGUACAGCAAGAGCAAGAGCAAGGCUGUGUUUACAUUCUCCAAGACAAGGGGAAGGAAGAAGCAGCAGCCAUCAGAGGAGGAGGAGGAGGAGGAGGAGGAGGAGGGAGGAAGAAGAGCCAGGUUUCGCUCCUCCACUGGAUCUCCUCAAAGGACCGACCGAGAGAGUGACGUCCGGCAAAUCGCUCAGCAGUGCUUUCGAGGGCUCUCCCAGCUCUGAAGAACGAAGGAAGAACAGAAGAAAGGAAGGAAGGAAGGCCAUCUUGGAAGACUCAAGAACCAGUCACCCCAGUCCAAGGAAAGGUCACAAGAGGUCACAGUACGAAGGAGCAGUCCAGUCCGUUGUAAAGUUAUUGGAAAAGGAAGGGAAGGGAAAGGAAAGGAUAGGGAAGGAAAGGAAAGGAUAGGAAAGGGAAGGGAAGGGAAGGAACAGAGAAGUGUAUAUAUAGUUAAGCUUAAAGUCACAUACAGUUAGAUGCAUACAGUUACACUCACAUAGAUUUACAUACAGUUUUGAUGGUGCGUUUGACGAAGGCGGUUGACUCAGUGGGUAGCGGAUUGGCCCGGCCCACGGUGUUAUGGAGGCUCUCAACACAAGUACAGUAAACCCUCGAUAUAACGGACUAAUUUAUUUAUUUAUUAUUAUUUUUUUUUCCACAUCAGAGGACACAUCUCAAGGGCAAUAUAGAGUCCCCAAAAUUCCGGCUACUCGCCGCUCCUGUAAAAGAUAAGAGUAAAGAGUAGCCAAAAGAGAGGUCAAUUUCGGGUGGAGAGGUGUCUUGAUACACACUCAAUUUGGGGGGAACUUAGUCCGUUAUAAGCGGCGAAGAUUUAAAAAAAACGUAAAAUAACAAAACGACGAAGGAGUAAACGUAGGUAUAGAUAUAUUUUUUAUGGUGUAUGUUGUGUGCACGUUGUCUAUAGGGCCGCACAGCACACUUGGCGACGCACUCCGAGGCACUGAGGUUGCUAGGUUGUGAGUGGGGUCUUGCGUGGGGGUCAUAUUGUUACGGGUAUGGGUAGGAUUUUACAAGUGCAGCGAGUAGCAGGCUUUUUUUUUUAUUAUUGUUUACUUUUUGUGUGCCCUUGAGCUGUCUCCUCUGCGCCAAUCUCACACUGGCAGAUGAAACUUUUUUUUGUUGUGUUUGGUGUGUUAUGAAAUAAUGUGCUAACUGUUUCUGUCACAAAGAAUUAAAUGAUUGCCUUUUCAAUGCCUGGUGUACACAGCACCUGUAAAAUAACUUGCAGAGAGAAAUGUUCAGCUUGCUUACAGUUUCUAUAUUUCACACCGGGUUCAAUUCCUGGGCGGAGUUGAAAAAUUUAGGCGGCUUUUCCGAUACCCUACGUAGCCCCUGUCCACCCAGCAGUGUACCAGGUAUUAAUCGGGGGUUGUGUCCCGUCUCCUGGGGUCUGUUGCCUUCUCCUAUAAUUCCUUCCCCUUCUGUCUCUCUCCGGCAUAAUAUGACCACAGAUGUUGCGCCGACUAGACCAAACUUUCCAACUUUUUCUGACCUUCUCCGUUAUAUCCAAAAUCCAUUAUAAGUGGGUCCAUUAUAUCCAGGGUUUACUGUAUAUGUAUAUAGUUAAGCUGUUGUAGUUACCAGAAGCGGGUGGUUCAAAACUAUUCUUGGUCGGUCCCGGUGGAUUUCUGACCCUCUGACCUUGUCUGUUAUAUCCGAAAUCCAUUAUAAGCGGGUCCGUUAGAUCCAGGGUUUACUGUAUAGUUGAGGUGGUCAGUUCGCCUACAGUUGUGAUACAGUUAGUUUUAUACAGUUUAGAGCUAGCUUUCUUUCUCUCCGUUAAGAUAAUAUUGCCUGUGUUAUAGAGUUCAGCUUCCUCUCACUAGAUAGGCAUAUACAUAGGCCUAUACAGUUUGCCACAUACUGAUUAGAGAUAGCUUUCUCUCUCUCUCUCUGUUAAGAUAAUAUUGCCUGUGUUAUAGAGUUCAGCUUCCUCUCACUGGGUAGGCAUAUACAUAGGCCUAUACAGUUUGCUACAUAGUGAUUAGAUCUCUCUCUCUCUCUCUGUUAAGAUAAUAUUGCCUUUGUUAUAGAGUAUAUAUAACAUACAGUCUCAUACGGUUAGCUAGGUACAUACAGUUAACAGUUUAUUUUGUUUGUAUCUUCUUAUCUUACCUUACCUUACCUUGCCUUACCUCUCUCUCUCUCUCUCUCUCUCUUGCUUCUCAUUUCGUUCUCUCUCCCUCUUUACCUUUUCCUCUCUCUCUCUCUCUCUCUCUCUCUCUCUCUCCCUUCUGAUACCUUUCUCUCUCUCUCUCCCUUCUGAUACCUCUCUCUCUCUCUCUCUCUCCCUUCUGAUACCUUUCUCUCUCUCUCUCUCUUUUAUCGGUAAAUUUCUUCUGUUCUUUCAUUCUUUAUUUUCCUUCUCUCUCCUUCCCUUACCUCCUCUCUCUCUCUCUCUCUCUUUUGCUUCUCAUUUCGUUCUCUCUCUCUCCCUCUUUACCUUUUCCUCUCUCAUAGGAAUAGAACACAUAAACAUUACAAAUUAACUUUUUAUUAAUAGAAAAAUACACAUACAUACAUACACUUAGUAACAUUGAUAAGGCUAUGUUGGCUAGGGGGGGAGGGAGGGAGGAGGGGGUCCUUCAUGAGGCUGGGGGGGUAUGUGUCUGUGGGGGGUUAUCAACAUACUGUAGGGGUACAUCUGUGGGGUCCUGUGAGCUGUGGUGAGGUGAGGUGAGGAGAGAGAGAGAGAGAGAGAGAGAGAGAGAGAGAGAGAGAGGGGGCGCCUCUCUAUCUCACCUCUCGAGUCU